ACCUUGUGUAAAUAAGUACAUAUGUAUAUAUCUCUGGUAUAUACUAUAUGACUUCUAUCAUCAAUAGACCUUGGCCUUACACACAGAUGAACUAUAGAAUAUACUUGAUGGUAUGAUAUAAAGUAUAAUAGGAUGUUUACAAAAUUCUCACAAAUGUACGUACAUAUUUAUUAUGUUAUAUCGAUUUUGUUGAUUAGUCUGUUAACAAAUUUUUGUGCGUAUUUAUUAUUCCUUUUAAAACUUCAUAUAUCCGUUCAUGAGAGUGCAUAACCUCAAGUGUAAGAAAAAUUUGUGUCAGGUGGAUGUAUAAUAUAGUAUGUAGAUAUAUAAAAAGAAAAAAGAAAAAAACUUCUUUGAA